rnacentral:rRNA from 1 species
UUAUCGGAGAGUUUGAUCCUGGCUCAGGACGAACGCUGGCGGCGUGCCUAAUACAUGCAAGUCGAGCGGACCAAUUAAAAGCUUG